rnacentral:sRNA from 1 species
GCAUACAUAUUUUCUUUUACAGCCAAUGUUGGUGUGAAAGAUAAAGGAACAAAUGGAAAACUCACUUUUGACAUUCCCAGUAGCUUACAGAGUGGUGAUUGUAGCUUCUUUUUCAAAACAGAAGGAGAUCAACAGCAAGGAAUUUUUCAGUUAAAGGUGAAAGACGAGUUAGUCAGAGAAAAUGUUUCACUGCCUUUUGCAUCAGGAGCUUUAAAAAUUUUGAAACAAAAGAAAAAGAAUGACUGCUAUGUGGUGGAAAUAAAGAAAUCAAAAGAAGUUGACCUAAAAAAUCUUUUUGAUUAAUCUUCAACAUACUAGCUGCUAGAAACAUAAUGAUAAACAUUUGGUGUGUAGGUUAUUACUUGUGUAACUGUUGCCACUCUGCCAUCAUUUCAAAAAUUUAACUCUUAAUACGAUUACAUAUUUAGAACGGUAUGUUCAAGACUUGUAGUUAUGUAGACCAAUGCAAAGUCUAGAUAAUAAAGUAGGCCUAUAAUAGAGGACAAUCAUGCUUUGAUUUUUUCGUGUAAGAAUAAUUGAACCAUGAACAAAUAUAUAUUUAUAAAUUGUAAUUAUUUUUUAUAUUUUUUCAAAGUGCCAAUAAAAGCAAAUAAUUGAAGCAGUGGCCCUGUAAUAUAGAAAGAUUAUCCCUUUUAGUUGGGGCUAACUUUUUGUAGCAGUCUAUUUAUCUGAUCACUUGUGCAUGUAAUGCUGACAAAAAAAAAUAAUUAUAAGCUCUCUGGUCCAAUUUGUGUGUGUGCAAAGAAUGGGUCUUCCCUUUCAUACAAAAAAAUUAUUAUUCCUAUCUCUGUUGCUAAUCUAAGACCUGGACCUAAGAACUUAUCACCAAUUGGCCAUUAAAAAAAUGACAGCCAGCAUCUUUGUCAAAAAUUGUUCUUUACUAGUACCUGACCUCCAGGCUAUUAAAAACAUGAAAGCUUAAGUAAAUGACCUCAUUGACCUGUCUUAAGAUCAUGCAAGAAAGAUCUGAAAGAAAAUAUAGCAUGAAAAAUUCUGCGUAAAUAAUAUGUCCAAAAUCAGAUAACAUAGAUGCAGAAGUUCUGGUUUCUUUAAGAUGUAUUGGCCUCUGUAAGCACUUGCCUGUUAAACAGAAAGCUGUGUUUCAUAUGGUGGUAGGGAUGUUUGCUUAGAUGCUCGCUCUAAAUAUUUAGACCAGCUGACUUUAAUGGACACGUGACGUGAAAUGGGGGAUAGAAAAUAUUGAUGGUCAUCGUCACUGUGCUGGCCACAUGACAGGCUGUAAACCAUUGACCAUAGACCUUCCCUUUAAAUUGUAGUUCUGAAGUACUUAGCCAUUUUUUUAAAACAGAAUUUUAUUGUCUGUUAAAUAAAUAUCUGAUUUUUUUUUUCAACAUUUUUAAUACAAUCACACAAGUGCUGACAUGUUGAUGUUAUGUUUAUUCAUAUUUUGCAUUUCUAGUUGUUUUUAUUAGCAUUUUAUUUUACUUUUAUAUCAUAUUUUUACUUGCAUAACAUUUGGACAUCAGGUUGUUAAAUGUUAAGCUAUGUUUUAACCCAAACAUGGGUGUCUGUUAAAUGUUAAGCUAUGUUUUAACCCAAAAAUGGGUGUCUGUUAAAUGGCUUUUAAUAGUUGGACAUGUUUCUCUCCUAGUUUGUUUAUCAGAUUGACCUGACCUAUUGUAGAUGGAACUAAUGCUUUAGUCAUAGGCUUUUAAUUGUAUAUUGCAAUUUUAUACAAAUAUUAUUAGAUCACAAUGACAGAACC